UGGAAACGACUGCUAGGCCCCGGAUAAACCGAAAGGGAAAAUAUUUAUAGCCUGAAGAUGAGCUCGCGUCCGAUUAGCUAGUUGGCGGUAGUAAAAGCCCACCAAGGCGACGAUCGGUAAGCUGGUCUGAGGAGGACGAUCUAGCCACACUGGGACUGAAGACACGGCCCAGACUCCUACGGGAGCAGCAGUGGGGAAUUUUCCGCAAUGGGCGAAAGCCUGACGGAGCAAGACCGCGUUGGGGGAAGAAAGGCUCUUGGGUUGUAAAACCCCCUUUUCUACUGGGAAGAAACGUUGUGAAAGCAACCGUGACGGUACCAGAGGAAUCAGCAUCGGCUAACUCCGUGCCAGCAGCCGCGGUAAGACGGAGGAUGCAAAGCGUUAUCCGGAAUGAUUGGGCGUAAAGCGUCCGCAAGGUCGCAGUUCAAGUCUGCUUGUACUAAAGACCGGGGGUACUUAAACGUUCGGAAAAGGUCAAGGUUCGGAAAACUGGAACAAGGCCAAGUAGGUAUGGUACGGGGCAGAGGGUAAUUCCGUGGUGUAAGCGGUGAAACUGUCGUAAGAGACUCAGGAAGUAACGAGUCGGUGGCGUAACGGG
rnacentral:rRNA from 1 species